UGUAGUACUUUUUGGUACAACUUCGUUGAGUUGUUCCCAUACGCAAAUGAGAGAACCCAAAAAGAAAAAAAGUUUUGGUUAUCCCCUUUCCCAACCUCGAACUCUCCGAAAACCGGACACUUUUGUCUCUUGGCACGCGGGCAGCUGCCUUCAUCUACUCCAAUGGCAGAAAACAAUCUGCCCGAAAUCUGCAAAUCCUUUCACCAGCGAGCUUCUGAGGCUGAGGUUUCUGAUCUCUUUUUAGCUCGUUAACUCCCACAUUAUGGGUCUAAAUCUUGACUCGAUUGGAAAGACUUGAAGCUGCUAUUGCUAGUGACAGAAAUGCUGGGAAUGAGAAAUUAUAGAAUAAGGCUCAGAAAGAGCUAAAGCAGCUACAUGCAGAAAAUGCCAAGCUCCAAUAUCGUAUAACACAUCUUGUUUGAGCACUAAAGGAUACUGAUUGUAUGUUACAAUCUAAGUGAGGGACUUUUGGGACUUAGCUCCCUUUAUCUCUAUCAAGUUGGAAUAUGCAAGUUGGGAAGAAUGAUAUUCCAUUUUGUGACCUGAAAGUGUACCAUGAUCAAAAGCAGCAGAUAAACUCCAAUGGUUUAUUUUUUAGCUUUCUUCAAAUUUCUGUACCUGCAAAUGGUCUCUCUUUGGACUACUAAAUGCAGAAUCAGAUUGAUACUUUCUGAAAGCUAAAGGAGAGCAAGUGCUGACUGUAUCAAUCCUUGAGGGAAAACGGUAAUGGCUUUGUAACUUCCCUGAUACUGCUAAACAAUUUAGAAGAUCGGUCUGAGAGAAAAGGUGAUGCCUCUGGUUUUUCUGUAGCUGCUAAACACUAAGAGAGUUGCUUUUGCAACUACUACUUAUCAUAAGCCAACUCAAUAGAUUUGCUGAUAACAGUUGGGGGA